GUUAAAAAGAAGAGUAAUUUAUAUCUCAAUUAAGUUAACGGUAAAAACAAUUGAUAAAAAAAUAAGUAUGUAUAUGUAUUUCUGAAUAUUAACCGGACAGAAGUAAACAAAUCACUACGACACUUGUAAAGUUUCAUCUCUAGCCCCACUACUUAUUCAAAACUAAGAGUAGCAACAUUCAUCAUAUACAAGUAUAAUUUUUGAAUGACUAAGAAAGAAAUACACAUGUGUAUAUACCAUCAUCAUCAACUAUAGUCGACAUUCAUUGGGAAACAUUUGUGAUGUAAGCGCUUUUUCGAUAGAUUCAAAUGGCGUUUGUAAAGAAAGUAAGUUCUUGAACAGUGUGGGAUCAAUUGUGUCACUUUCCGUAAUAUUUUUCCCAAUAGAGAAUCCAAGGAUGUCCUGCGGUAAAUAGUGAUUUUGAAUGCGUCUGAUGGCGCAGAGUUUAAGCUAGACAGAUUACACUCAAUAUUUUCCGUUUGUGUGCCGUCUAAAAGAAAUCAUUAAUAUGUAUAUCUAAAGACCAAAACGCCCUCUCUAACUGGAUCCCUUCCUGACGGUAACGCUGAGAAUGCUAAGGAUGCAUUGCUAUUUAUACACAGAGUAGUAUCAUCUGGAAUAAUCAAUAAUUCGUAAAUGUCUACUAAUGAUGUGCUGCAAUUCAACGUCUUGUACGUAAAAUACUGUUAUUAGGGCUCGUUGUGUUUCGUAAUGACAACUUACUGAAUACAUAUAAGUAAAUUAUAUAACUCUUCUAUGUUUUAUAUACAAUGUUUUGGACCAUAUAUUGGUAUUACAAUAAUAUAUAAUUCUGAAUAAUUUAAUCAUA